CCAUAAAGCAUAAAAAUCUCCUUUUUCUCUGGGUAUAUAAUAGUAUUAAACAUGACAUUAAGCCUUGUGAUUCUUUUCAAGGUAGAAUUUUGCAUGGCCUGAAUUGAGGUCCCAUCCCCCACCUCUCCUAGUAACAUAGCUAAAAAGUCUUUCCCAUCCUGAAGCAAAUUGGCAUUUUCAUUCACGGGAAACCAGCUGAACAUUUAUAUAGGGAUUGAUUUCUGAUUUUUGUAUUCUGUUCUAACAUCACAUUCUCUUUGUUUCUGUAGCUUUAGAACAAGCCUUGAAACCAAGAAUGUGAGUUAUACAACUUUGAAUUUAUUGACUCUUUGGGUUCUUGUUCCCUUUAAAUUAAUUUUAGAAUUAGACUUCAGAAGGAAAACUAGUGGUUGAGAUUCGGGUUGGGUUUAUGUUGAACCUACAGGUCAAUUUAGAGAGAUAGACUCUUCUGUUGAGUCUGUUAUCAAUGUACUUGCUAGUUCCACAUUAUUAGACAUUUUAAUUUUCUGUAGAUUUUUGAAUACAUAUUUCAUUUAUUGCUCUUUUGUGCUGUUAACAUUGAAUCUAAAAUUUUCAGUUUUUAGUUAUUUAUUGUUAAUAUGUGGAAAUACAGUAAUUUUAUCUUUAUAUUUGAGAUUAUAAUGUGAUUGUAUCAUUUUCCCCUUUUCUUUCUCUAGCUCUCCCAUAUAUCCCUUCUUGCUCUCUUGCAGGUUUGUGGCCUCUUUUUUGCAUUAAUUGUUGCUACAUCUGGUUUUGGUUUUGAAGGAUGAGGCCCAUCAAGAAUAUCCAAUGAGAGUCAGUGGUCAAGGAAGACUGUGGGUGGGGGACCACAAUAAUUACAUAAGAAACAGGCUUUAUUAAAAGCUGGAACAAACCAAAUGAAGGAUGUGACUUGAAAAAGCUGGGAAAUGCGUGUAUCUGGCUCUGCAGAGAUAAAGAACCAACAGAACGUAAUAUAUAGAUGGUGAUUUGUUUUGAGGGAUUGGCUCAUAGGCUUCUGGAACUGGCAAGCCCUAAAUCUGUGUGGCUGGCAAUUCACUUGAUGUAGCUGGCUUGAGUUGAGAUCUACAGGGAAAGCCAGGGGAAUGGAGAUGCAAGCAGGAUCCCUGUGUUACAGUCUGGAGGCAGAAUUUCUUCCUAUUCAGAUUUGUCUUUUGGCUUAUCCCCUUCAGUCAACUGCAUGAGGAUCGCCCACAUUAAAGUCAUCUGCUUUACCUAAAGUCAGAUGAUUAUGCUAACAACUUGGAAUAAUAUGCCUUCCAUAACAUCUAGUGUCUGAACAAAAAUGGGAUAGCAACGAGCCACACCAACAUGUAAAAUUAACCACUGGAAUUUGAAAGCUGAAAUAGUCAAAUCUAUUGUGGUCUUGAUAGUGUUUAUUAUCAAUUGAGUAAAUACAUACCUGUUCUUGGAUGAAUAAAUACUGAAGGUAAAUGAUGUUCUCUAUGUUGUAAAAUUUCAUGUAUCAUCUGUCUGUCUCUCUCUGUCUUUCACUUGUCUAUUUAUAAAACUUCAUGCAUGAAUAUGAUAGUGGUAUUUAUAUUUCAUCUUCUAAAUUAAUUAGUUUAUUUGUUUAUUUAUCUAUUUAUUUAUGUGACUCUGUAUAUGUAUGUGAUGUAAACCAUGGUAUAUGAGUAGAUUUCAGAAAAUAAAUUGAGAGGGUUGGUUUUUUUCUUCACUUUAUGGGUCCCAGGAAUUGAACUCAGGUCAUAAUGCUUGGAGGGAGGUGUCCUUUCCGACUAAGCCACUUACUUCUCCCCAGAUUUAAUUUUAAAAUAUUCAAUGUACAGAUCAACAAUAUUAGUAGUGAUAAUGCAAAAGUUAACCAUACAUAAGAAUGAAAAGAAUUAUCAUAUAAGAAGAUGGAAAUAGCAUGAGUGGUGGGGAGUGAUGCAUGGUGGACUUGGUUUAUUUUCAGGACAGAGAGAGAGCAGCCUUGCUGCCAUGAGCUCUGACAUUUGAAUGAGGAAGGUACCCCACAGUUCCAGACAUCUGAACACUUGGUCUCCAGUUGGGGGUGCUGUAUGUGAAAGUUUAAGAGGUGUGGCCUUGCUGUAAGAAAGUUGUGGAUUUGAAUUUGAGAGUUUAAGGUCUUACCCUACUUCCAGUUCACUCUGUCUGCUUCAUGCUUGUGAUUCAAGAUGUGAACACCUCCUUGGCAGGAAGUGGUGGUGCACACCUUUAAUCCCAGUGCUCAGGAGGCAGAGGCAGGUGAAUCUGUUGAGUUCGAGGCCAGCUUGGUCUACAGAGUGAUUUCUCGGAAAGCCAGGGCUGCACAGGAUGAACCCCUCACCCCCCAAAGUGAACUCUUAAAUUUUUGCUUGCUGCCAUGCCUGUUGCUUGCUGCCAU